rnacentral:tRNA from 1 species
GGGGAUUUAGCUCAGCGGCAUAAGCACCUGCCUUGCAAGCAGGUGGUCGUGAGUUCGAAACCCCAGUUCCGA